rfam:Chelonia mydas contig229152, whole genome shotgun sequence.
AUAAUUUUUUUAACAUUAGCUUUAAUACAAUUUUUAAAUCUAUUGUUAUCAGUUUGAUAUCUGAUAUAUUCUGUAUCUGUGAACUUUAUAUUAAAUGGAUUUUUGGAACAGGAAGAUAGAAUCGGAGCUUGCUCCAUCCACUCCCCGAUCAACUUGGUAUUGCAGUACUUCCGGGAAUGGUGCACCCCCC